GCCUUUAAUAAGAUUUUCUAUUAAGUUUUUCUUUUUUUUUCUUUUUUGUAUCGGGGAUCAAACUCAGGUCCUUGCGCCUGCUCAGCAGGCGGCGAAAACACUGAGCUAAAUCCCCGGCCCCUAUUAACUUCUUUCAUAAAGCUCGAUGAGAUCCUAUUUUAUCCUUUUCCUACCUGUGAUCUCAUGUCUCUACAAGGGCAUCCCCUACAACGGGUGUGUAGGACCAGGAGGAAAGGAGCAGGGCCAGCAGGGGCUCAGACCUUCUCCGCUGUUUGUGAAACCUGCUCCUGUGGAUGUCCUGCCAUACCUCAGAAGAGCUCCUGUGGGUACCCCGAUCUGGGGGAGCCAGGUCAGCUGAGGAAACAAGUCUGUUAAGAGCCCCAGAAAGUGGAAAUGGAGAAUCACAAGAUUCACAAGAUGAGAAUCACCUUUGCACAGGACAAGGGGAGAUCAUAGCGACUCCUCAGACCCAAAGCAGGCUGACAAGGAGGUAAAGCGGCUUUGCUUUUUUGUGGGACCCAAGUAUGCUCAGUGAGUGAGCUGAUUAUUUUCUGCUGAUUAGAGUGGAAAAAGAAAUGGCAUUUAUUUGUGGAAACAAACUUGCAGAAGCAGAGGUGAGCGGGAUUCUUCAGUGAGUGGGUCAUUGAUGCUGGCCUCAAGGCUUUCGGCCCGUCCUCGGUGACUCCCAGCUACAGGCAAGACCCAGCAGCAGAAGAACCCUGGGAACAGACUGUGUCCCCAGACCCUGGCUGCCUCCAGGGAUGUUCUUUCUAAUGCACCCAGAACACAAAUCACAUGGCUUCACCGUGACAGUUAUAAAUUUCAUCCACCAUGGAGAGUUGGAGGCAGGCGAUUUGUUGGGUCCAAGUCAAAGGUUACAAAAGAAUUCUUCAGAUUUGGGUGAUUUCCACACCUAUUAGGACCUGAAAGUCAUUUUCUUUGGAAGGAACAGAGCAGAAGGGAAUGUAACUCCAGAAUCUUCCAUCCUGGGUAGCUGGUGCAUCUAGCACUGCUGAGAGAGACAAGAAUUAAUAUGGAAGCACUCACCCACCCCUCAUCCUCUCUGGCCUGUCGGUCACCUGGAAUCUCUUGCAUCCCAUUUUCUGCAGCUCUGAGCCUGAUGGGGUUUUUGAAAUGCACCCAGCAACCCUCCAAGUGAGCUCCAAAUGCAGCUCCAACCUACCACAGCCCCCAUUGGAAGGUCUGGCUAUUUUCCUAACACAUAGGGUAAUGAUGGACAGAAGAGCAAAAACUUCAGGUAUACAAACUCUGUGCCUGUCCUGUCCAGAGAGUGGAGCUGCAUUAACGGUGGGGCUGAAGCUGCCUGGGCAGACAUGGCUCAGAGGAAGGCUGCUUGUUAGUGGAGGGCUCUCUGCCUUCUAACUGGCUCUGUUCCCAUCUCCACUUGUUCCAGUGGCCACCUUGUUCUCUUC